GCGAAACUUCGGUCGUGGCAUGGGGCUAGAGUCACGGGAGCGAGACGGAGGCAGCAGGGGCGGGCGCGGGUCCGGAGCUCCGCGAGGAGGGUACCCUAACUCGAACGGCAGUGGUGCGGCAGCGUACGGCGGGGGAGAGCGUCGCGGCGAAGGUCAAAGAGCACCAAGACGCAACCCUGGUGCGGCGCAGGGUGGGCGCGGUAACGGUGCGCCUGCGGCCGCUCCGGCGUGAGCAGAGGUGGUGGUGGGAUGGGCAAGGGUGCGGAAGGGCGAAGCGAAGUCGGGCAAAUGCUUGGGUGUGAGGCAGCGGGGAUGCAUCUGAGUUGCCUAGUGGUGCGAUGUUAGUAGUAGUGGGUGAAGGCCCGUUUAGGGGCUGGGAGGUGGAGGGUUACAGGAUGUGGUAGUGCCGAGUAGCGUAGGUGCAGUGUCAGGGCUAAGAGAGUUGGUAGAGGGAGUCAGCGGAACUCGCUGCCAAAGGUGCGCAGUGGAAUAGAUGCUCACAAGCCAAUUUGUGAAAUGUUUUUGGCGGAAGGUAGAGUGG
rnacentral:lncRNA from 1 species